rnacentral:rRNA from 1 species
UACGGGGGGGGACAGUCGUUGUCGGAAUUACUGGGCGUAAAGGGCUCGUAGGUGGCCAACUAAGUCAGACGUGAAAUCCCUCGGCUUAACCGGGGAACUGCGUCUGAUACUGGAUGGCUUGAGUUUGGGAGAGGGACGCGGAAUUCCAGGUGUAGCGGUGAAAUGCGUAGAUAUCUGGAGGAACACCGGUGGCGAAGGCGGCGUCCUGGACCAAUACUGACACUGAGUGAGCGAAAGCCAGGGGAGCAAACGGG